UCGACCAGAGGACCUCGCCACGAAACUCUCCAACGGAACAACCAACGCUGAUAAAUCACGUACUUUUUUCACAAGAUUCCUCAAUCAACAUAUUUCACCGUUACAACAACCCUUUUGAUCAUAUAAUCAGUAUACGAACAUGUUUGUGAAGACAAAAUACCAAUAUGGCGGCAGAACUAGUACAGGCCGAGUGCGCAUGCGCGAAUCAGGGACGAGAAGGAGGUGGAACGGAGCCGACAGCGUGAGCUCUCGACGCGAAAAAAGGGAAAAAGCAUCGGUGAUAUUGUGUAGUGUUCCCGAGUAGACACAAUCGUCGAGAAUCAAAGGUAACCGUUCAUUAAUUAAUUACGGGUGUAACCUCGUGACAGCACUCGAAACAAGCACGAAGUAAAUUCGCAACCGGCGAUGAACACGUCGUUGUACGUACCUCGAGCGUGAAAUCGUAUCUCGAUUUGUAAUUGAUCGAAGGAGUAUAAAAACGUAUUGGUGCGACAAUAACGCGCGAAAUUUGAUUUCGUCCAUUUAAAGUUCGGGUGUCGAAUCAUUUUGUCGAAUUUAUUUAAUUGUACAACGGAACAUUAAUUAUAACAUAACAGAAAGCUGUUACGAAGGAAGAGCAAAAAGUAAAAGAUAGGAGUAUCGCUAUUGCGAGGGUGCACAUCCGUUUAAUAAAAAAAAAAGCGAUAUGUAGAGGAAGACAUCUCUCAUUGAUCGGUGAAAAAUUUCACGCAGUAAGGAUUUCGUGACCGUGACUUUUAGCGAAUAAAAGUAAAGACAUAGUAUAGGAUAGGUAUCGAACGGCGGGUAGGGAUUGCGUGGAUGCGAAGGAUAAAGCAGAAAGAGGAGGCGGAAGGGUGCGGUAGAC